rnacentral:rRNA from 1 species
UGGGGAAUAUUGCACAAUGGGCGCAAGCCUGAUGCAGCCAUGCCGCGUGUGUGAAGAAGGCCUUCGGGUUGUAAAGCACUUUCAGCGGGGAGGAAGGCGGUGAGGUUAAUAACCUCAUCGAUUGACGUUACCCGCAGAAGAAGCACCGGCUAACUCCGUGCCAGCAGCCGCGGUAAUACGGAGGGUGCAAGCGUUAAUCGGAAUUACUGGGCGUAAAGCGCACGCAGGCGGUUUGUUAAGUCAGAUGUGAAAUCCCCGGGCUCAACCUUGGAACUGCCUAUGAUACUGGCAAGCUUUAGUCUCGGAGAGGGGGGUAGAAUUCCAAGUGUAGCGGUGAAAUGCGUAGAGAUCUGGAGGAAUACCGGUGGCGAAGGCGGCCCCCUGGACGAAGACUGACGCUCAGGUGCGAAAGCGUGGGGAGCAAACAGG